CCCCCGUNCCGGUCCUGCCGCCCCCGCCCGCUUACGGGAGGCAGCAGGCGCGAAAAUUGCCCAAUCCUGAUUCAGGGAGGCAGUGACAAGAAAUAACAACUCUCAACAUUGUUGAGAAGUGUAAUGAGGAUAAUUUACAAACCUUACUGAAAGCAAUUGAGGGCAAGUUCUGGG
rnacentral:rRNA from 1 species